rfam:Pseudomonas putida CSV86 contig00049, whole genome shotgun sequence.
CCAAGGUGCGGGCGCCCAGCCCGCACCGAGGUGCAACCCGAGCGAGGGUCAAAAGCCCGAGCUUUACCUAUGAAGAUAUGAGACCAGCAGGGGCAUCCGGGCUGGUACCCGGUAAAUCUGCGGGAUCUUGCAGGCCUGGUUUUGGUGAGAUGACUCCAGGCUUACGUGGUUCUGCCGAUCGAGGCCCCUAACCGAGGGUGACCA